GGAUAAUGAUGCUUAGGGGACCUGAGUCUCAGGUUGUGCUGGUCAUCCUAAGAGAACACGGACACAUUUCUUCUUUCUAAAUGCAAGUGUAUAAACCUGACAAAGGGGCUUGAUUGGCAGCUGCUUUAGCCUUCUUCUCUCAAGCCCCUGGAGAGGAAGCAUCCAGCACAGGCUCAUCGUCCUACUGCAGGGGCCUGAGGCUUUUCUGCCAUGUGGGAAAGUGAAGCUUCACCACUGGUUUCCUGGGAGAUAAGAAAAAGUACGCUGAC